CGGAAUUACUGGGCGUAAAGGGCGCGUAGGCGGUUUAGCAAGUUGGAUGUGAAAGCCCAGGGCUCAACCCUGGAACUGCAUUCAAGACUGCUUUACUUGAAUUCGGUAGAGGUUAGUGGAAUUCCCAGUGUAGAGGUGAAAUUCGUAGAGAUUGGGAAGAACACCCGUGGCGAAGGCGGCUAACUGGACCGACAUUGACGCUGAGGCGCGAAAGCGUGGGGAUCAAACAGG
rnacentral:rRNA from 1 species